AAUUGGGGUACACAGAGAAUCGGGGUGUGCAAAGAAUCAGGGUGUGGAAAGAAUUGGGGGUGUGUAAAGAUUCGGGGUGUGCAAAGAAUCGGGAUAUGAAUCAGAGUACA